GUCAAGUUUGGUGGUGGCACAUUCACUAAUUGGAGCUAUACAGAGAAGACUAGCAUGGCGCCUGCAUAUGACGUGCACAUUCGUGAAACAUUCCGUAUUUUU
rnacentral:snRNA from 1 species